rnacentral:rRNA from 1 species
UACAGAGGUCCCAAGCGUUGUUCGGAUUCACUGGGCGUAAAGGGUGCGUAGGUGGCCAGGUAAGUUUGGUGUGAAAGCUCGGAGCUUAACUCCGAAAAGUCAUUGAAUACUAUCUGGCUGGAGGGUCGGAGGGGAGACUGGAAUUCUCGGUGUAGCAGUGAAAUGCGUAGAUAUCGAGAGGAACACCAGUGGCGAAGGCGAGUCUCUGGACGACUCCUGACACUGAGGCACGAAGGCUAGGGGAGCAAACAGG